GCCAGGCAUGGUGGCUCGUGCCUGUAAUCCCAGCUACUCUGGAGGCUGAGACAGGAGAAUCGCUUGAACUCAGGAGUCUGAGGUUGCAGUGAGCUGAGAUCACACCACUGCACUCCAGCCUGGGUGACAGAGUGAGACUCCGUCUCAA
ensembl:misc_RNA Metazoa_SRP Metazoan signal recognition particle RNA